rnacentral:rRNA from 1 species
UUAUUUUUUACACAAAAAAAUUGAUUGUGCAAUUCGGUCUAGCUUGAAUUCUAAAUUUUAUAUUACUUUUAUAUAUUUAGUUUAUUUUUUAUUUAAUCAGAAAUAUCUUUUUUUUAUUGGUAAUUUUAUUGACCUUAUUAUUUUAUUAGUUAUAGCUUAUUUUACUGUGAAGGAUUUAUUUUUAUUUUAUUAAAAGCAUACUUUUUUUGUAUUACCUUUUGUAUCAGGGUUUAUCAAUUUUAUAUUAAUUAUUUGUUGUUCCCGAAAUUAAAAGAGAUAUAUUAUAAUGAUUUUUUAUGUUUCAUAAUAAUUUUUAAUUUUAAUAUAGGGGUUAUAUGCUAUUCAAUUUUAAAUAUCUGGUUUUCUAAUAUAUUAAUUUAAUUAAGAUUAACAUUUAUAGGUUGAUAUACAAAUUUAUUUUAUUCAAUUUUGUUAAUUAAGUUUAUAGGGGAUAAGCUCUGAUUAAUUUCUAUAAUAUUUAUUUAGUUUAAUUUUUGUAGGAUUGAAAACUUCCAUCACGGAUUUCGUUAUAGUUCAUUUUAUAUAAUAUUUAAUUUUAUAUAAUAUUUAAUUUUAUAUCAAAAUUUUUGGUUUAAUUUUUAAUCUUUUUAAUAAUGAUAGAAUAAGUAUAAUUUAUAAUUAAAAUAUUAGUAACUCGGCAAAUAUUAUUUUCACCUGUUUAACAAAAACAUGUCCUUUAGAUAUUUAUUUAAGGUCAGGCCUGCCCAAUGAUUGAUUUUAAUGGCCGCAGUAUUUUAACUGUGCAAAGGUAGCAUAAUCAUUUGCUUUUUAAUUGAAAGCUUGUAUGAAUGGUCAGAUGAAAAAUAUUCUUUCUUUAUUUUAAUUAUUUGAAUUUUAUUUUUUAGUUAAAAAGCUAAAAUUAAUUUAUUAGACGAGAAGACC